ACAACUGGAAGGUUCCCGCAGCCCUGAAGGGGGGGCUCCCUCAUGGUAUGGAUGAGGAAGGAACCCCUCCAGAGGUCCCAGGGGAUCACUAGCAGAGAUGGAAAGAGAACACCCCAGGCCCGUCCCACCCCUCCCUGAGCUCUGCUCCCCGACAACUCGUAGCAGCUAAGAGGCCCCAGCCCGGUCCCAGGGCCGCCCAGCAGACUGGCCUGUGACAGCAGGUCCCUGAAACCAGGGUAGGCGCCUACAGAUGGGUUCUCCGUGCACUUUACCAAUCCAAGCCGUUCGCCCUCUCUCCUCUGGGUGGGGACUGGGAAGGGUCCCUUUUCCCCUAGGCUGGUCUCCAUGUUGCCAUUUUUGGAGAGAGCACCAGAACCGGACAAGUCCCAGCAGAAAGCAUUGGGGUGAGGGGUCAUCAUGGGGUCAGAUGUCAGCCUCUGUGUCCUACCUGGGUCCAGCCAAGCUGCACACACCCCUGACCCCCAACCUCCUGAGAAGGCCCAGCCAAACCUCCCAACCUCUGACAUACAACCCUCCAUCUUUAACCAGUCUGCUCCCAAAGCAGUUUUGAACAACAACAAAAAGAAAAAACAGUUGUCAAAGAUGAUUUUAGAAAAGUUUCUCAAACGUUUUCAGACACCCAGUCCCUUACAGGAAAAGGCCCCGUGAUAAUGAAUGAUACUCCCCCCACCCCCUCGAGGGUGUGGAAUUGUUAGCCGCCCCCCCAAAACCUCAAGAUGUCACAUUCCUUCAGCAGCAUCCCACCAGCUGCCGCCAAAGGGUAACCCUGCUGCGGAACAAAGGAGGCGCUGGUGAAAGGCUGGAAUCUCACGUCUGUGGUGCUCAGGCAUUCGUUGGAGAGGGUGUGAGCUGGGGCGCGGUGACUGAGUGACGGCAGAUCACAAGAGCUGUGAAGGGCUUGGCAGCCUCAGCCCCGGCUCUGCUCACGGGAAGUGCUACAGUUUGCAGAUGGGAAGACAGUCCUGGCCCCGGGUUUAGGCACGUCUGAGUGUUCUGGUUCUAGAAAGGCAUAAGAAACCCGUGCCUGAGGGUUUGUUUUUUUUUUAAUUCUAGAAAGGCAGAAGUGGAAAAGGACAAGAAAAUUCUUAGAAGCUUU
rnacentral:lncRNA from 1 species